GCCCCGUAAUCGGAAUGAGUACACUUUAAAUCCUUUAACAAGGAUCCAUUGGAGGGCAAGUCUGGUGCCAGCAGCCGCGGUAAUUCCAGCUCCAAUAGCGUAUAUUAAAGUUGUUGCGGUUAAAAAGCUCGUAGUUGGUUCUGCGUGCCGCGCUGUCGGUUCGCCGCCUGUCGGUGUAACUGGCAUGUCGCGGCAUGUCCUGUCGGUGGUGAACGGAGUCCAUAAUGCUACAUAGGCUUUAUAGCCAAUGUUAGCGUCGUGUGUACUUCCGUUGGCCGAUCUCUCCUACUUCGGUGCUCUUAAACGAGUGUCGAGGUAGGCCGACACGUUCACUUUGAACAAAUUAGAGUGCUUAAAGCAGGCUGAAAUAUCUGCCUGAAUAGUGGUGCAUGGAAUGAUAAAACAGGACCUCGGUUCUAUUUUGUUGGUUUUAGGAAUAUGAGGUAAUGAUCAAUGUGGACUGGCGGGGGCAUUCGUAUUGCGACGUUAGAGGUGAAAUUCUUGGAUCGUCGCAAGACGCACUAGAGCGAAAGCAUUUGCCAAGUAUGUCUUAAUUGAUCAAGAACGAAAGUUAGAGGUUCGAAGGCGAUCAGAUACCGCCCUAGUUCUAACCAUAAACGAUGCCAGCCAGCGAUCCGCCGAUGUUCCUUUAAUGACUCGGCGGGGAGCUUCCACCCGGGAAACCAAAGCUUUUGGGUUCCGGGGGAAGUAUGGUUGCAAAGCUGAAACUUAAAGGA
rnacentral:rRNA from 1 species